UCGAUGAAGAACGCAGCAAGCUGCGAUACGUAGUGUGAAUUGCAGAAUUCAGUGAAUCAUCGAAACUUUGAACGC
rnacentral:rRNA from 1 species